ACAAGAGCCCGGAAUAAGAUGGCCUCUAAACUUGGAUCCGCAGCCCUGCGCCAAGCGUGUUUCUUCUUUUAUCUCUGUCGAUGCUGGCCAAAAGCCUGGGUGAGUUUGCUUGCCCUCGAGCUCGGUGCGAGACUACUUCUCUGAAGCCCCCACCCCACCCCACCCCCAUCUACCAUGCAGUUUUAUACAGCCCUCCCUCCAUCGCUGAACAUGCCAGCUGUCUCGGACCCUAACUCAAAAAGGAUUUUGGAAGGUGGAGACAGGUUAUACCGGCGUAGCUGAUCUUUGGGAUCUUGUAAUGAAACUCUCCGGCAUGCCAACUGUUGAGUCAAACACCUGACGAUCCUGAAAUGGGGCAAGUGGAAAGCCUUACUCAGCAACAAAUCCCAGUGUAGUGUUUCACAGAAGAGGAAAUGAAAACCCAAGAAGACGAUACGCCUUUUUGAGAGUGGCAAAGCGGCCCUCUGGCAGAGCCAGGGUGUGAACCCAGCCUGGCCUUGGCGUUCACGUUCACCCGAUCAUAUUUGUAUCUCCCAGAGAUGAACAUUUUCAGAGUCCAGUGAAUCUAAAACGACCUGUCCAGGUGGGGAGAAACAUCGCGAAAAGCCGCAUGAUGUAUUUGGUUCUCUCAGAUCUUCACUUUCCUGGCCAAGUCCAUGUCUCAACAGUCUCUGGGGUGAAUCAUGGAA
ensembl:processed_transcript F630206G17Rik RIKEN cDNA F630206G17 gene